AUGGGAAAGUCAAAGCCAGAUAAGAACUUGAUGAGAGACUUUUCUGAGGAGGUUAGAAAGAUCAUGAAGAAGCAAGAGAAGAUCAAAUCUGCUAAAGCUGCAAAAGCUGAGAAAGCCAUAGAAGUUGAAGAUUCAAGCAUACCUAUCAGGGCCUCCAAGAUAUGUAGAACUUUAGAGACAACAAUGAUGACCCCCAAAAUGAAGAUGGAGCAUGCUGAAGAAUUUGAAUUACAUUCAGAUGCAGAUGAGGACUAUGUGUAUUUCCUCAUAAAUUAUAGAGGUGAUGAAUACCAAGUUUGA